AUCAACUAUAAUUCGACCCAAAAUAUAAUCAUAUGAUAUAGAGAAGAUUAGCAUGGCCCCUGCGUAAGGAUGACAUGCACAAAUCGAGAAAUGGUCCAAAUUUUU